AUUACACCUCCUCCCCAUUUAUUUGCUGCUGGCUACACCCCUUGGCCAGGAAAUAUUUUAAAUCACCAACAUUUUUGUGCGUUUCAAUAAAGGUAGAAAGUGUUUUUACUCAGUAAUAUGAAAGGGUAUUUACUACCCACGCAUGUGUGGGAUGAAGGAGUUUCCUGACGUGCAUAUAUGCACUUUUGAAGAAAUACGCCUUUGUCCAUAAAAACGCAUUGACUACAGUAGUCCAGGAAAUCUUUUAAAUCACUAUAAAUGUUUCUUAUGCGAUUCAAAGGUCGAUGCAUGUAAGGUUGAAAGUGUUCUCUAAUAUGAAAGAAUAUUUACUACCCACGCAUGUGUAGGAUGAAGGAAUUUCCUGACGUGCAUAUAUGCACUUUUGAAGAAAUACGCCUUUGUUAUGGUAAAUAUGUUAACUUACAACGGUUGUCCAUAAAAACGCCAUUGACUGCAGUAGUCCAGGAAAUCUUUUAAAUCACUAUAAAUGUUUUUUAUGCGAUUCAAAGGUCGAUCUUCAUCUAAGGUUGAAAGUGUUCUCUAAUAUGAAAGAAUAUUUACUUCCCACGUGCAAGUUGGAUUACGACGUAGACAGAGAAACGUGCAUAGUGCAUACACCCGCGUUUGAAGAACACACCCUUGGUUUUGG